rnacentral:lncRNA from 1 species
ACACUCAGCUAAAGGCCAUUAAUUUCUGCCUGCUGAAGCUGUGAGAAAGCUCAGACUUCCAUCCCUACAUUGUUGAGAACUGGCAAUGUUACAAAGAAGAAACCCCUCAAGACUAUCCGACCAAACAUUUCGUCUCUGAGAAAUGUUCACUCACCCCAGGGUGUGGAACUGAAGGAGUAUUGGUGCCAGUGUCUCCAGACAAGCCUUCUGCAGGAAGCCCUGUGCUUUACCACGAGAGUUUUCUCCAGGGUCAGAGACAGUGGAAGUCGCACUGAAACACUGGAAAACAUUACAUGCAAGAAAAUUCUUAGAAUUGAAUUCUGGUGUGAGUAAUGAAAUAUUUCCCUUUGCAAAAAAAUCA